GAUGAACGCUGGCGGCGUGCCUAAUACAUGCAAGUCGAGCGAACAGACGAGGAGCUUGCUCCUCUGACGUUAGCGGCGGACGGGUGAGUAACACGUGGAUAACCUACCUAUAAGACUGGGAUAACUUCGGGAAACCGGAGCUAAUACCGGAUAAUAUAUUGAACCGCAUGGUUCAAUAGUGAAAGACGGUUUUGCUGUCACUUAUAGAUGGAUCCGCGCCGCAUUAGCUAGUUGGUAAGGUAACGGCUUACCAAGGCAACGAUGCGUAGCCGACCUGAGAGGGUGAUCGGCCACACUGGAACUGAGACACGGUCCAGACUCCUACGGGAGGCAGCAGUAGGGAAUCUUCCGAAAUGGGCGAAAGCCUGACGGAGCAACGCCGCGUGAGUGAUGAAGGUCUUCGGAUCGUAAAACGCUGUUAUUAGGGAAGAACAAAUGUGUAAGUAACUAUGCACGUCUUGACGGUACCUAAUCAGAAAGCCACGGCUAACUACGU
rnacentral:rRNA from 1 species